rnacentral:rRNA from 1 species
CGCUAUCAUCCUACGGGAGGCAGCAGUGGGGAAUAUUGCACAAUGGGGGAAACCCUGAUGCAGCCAUGCCGUCGUGUGUGUAAGAAGGCCUUCGGGUUGUAAAGCACUUUCAGUAGGGAGGAAGGUAGUGUAGUUAACACCUGCACUAUUUGACGUUACCUACAGAAGAAGCACCGGCUAACUCCGUGCCAGCAGCCGCGGUAAUACGGAGGGUGCGAGCGUUAAUCGGAAUUACUGGGCGUAAAGCGCAUGCAGGCGGCCUGUUAAGUCAGAUGUGAAAGCCCGGGGCUUAACCUCGGAAUUGCAUUUGAAACUGGCAGGCUAGAGUCUUGUAGAGGGGGUAGAAUUUCAGGUGUAGCGGUGAAAUGCGUAGAGAUCUGAAGGAAUACCAGUGGCGAAGGCGGCCCCCUGGACAAAGACUGACGCUCAGAUGCGAAAGCGUGGGGAGCAAACAGGAUUAGAUACCCUGGUAG